GUUAUUUAUAAGAUUAUGAGUCAGGAUUUCAUGACAAGGGUACAGGUACAUAUCUGUUUAAUAAUCUGUUCUCCUCAGAUAAACAUUAAUAAUGAAUUCUCCUUCUGUCCACACUGAGGUCAAUGGGGACUUGGCAUUAAUUUAGCAAGAACAGAGUCCAAAUCUACAUGAGUGAAGUUUUAAAUGAAUCAAAGUACACGUUACCCUCUCAAGGGCUAAUGCAAAGCUGAUGAGAGCUAUGGAGACACCUCUGCUGAUUAGAGUAGGCUCUAGGUUAGGCCUUUUCCAGUGGAAAAUACCCUCUAUCUACUUUGUCUGGCCAAAGUGGAGUCUUUGGGGCCUGACCUUGUGCUCUUUCUUCUGGAGAAAGAUGCAUGAAUAAAAAUGUACUGAAAGGCUGGAAUCUUAUUUUUCCUAACUGUCAUUAUAUAAAGAUCUAAUACCUGAUUGCUUUGAUUUCUUUCAAAAUUACUAUUCUACAAAAGCAAUUUAACGAGCUGAAAGUAGGAAGCGGUAUCAGGCUAUUGACAGAACACCGCAUCCUUAUCUGGAAAGUUUCCGAGGGAACAAGCUAUUGGUCUUGGUCAAUAAGGCAAGAAUCUUCAUGUGUUGCUCGAUCAGAGCCUGCACCUGAAAAGUUUUUCUGGGAAUACCGGUUGACAGAAAGUCUAAAUGAGCAGGAGGUUUUGCUUGAAUAUCUCUGGCAAACUGCACGCACGUGAGCUAUAUCUCAUCGGUUGGGUUUUGACAGGGCGGGCUCACAAACAACAACUGCAUCAUAUGAGUUGAAGGUCUUGGCCUUGAGGUCCCACAGAUCUCAGUGCGGUACUUUCUCAGAACAUUUUGCAAUGUUUAGGUAACAUCUAUGAAUAAUCGUUGUAACAAAUAUUUUUCUCAUCCAUGCUAGGAUGAGAUUAAGGGAGAUCUGUAUGUUAUUAACUUCUAUUUGCCAGAUCAAUUCAUAAAUUACAGCCAGCAUUCUCCGUUAUACAUUAUGAUUUAGUUGUGACAAAUGAAAACAACAGCCAUUCUAGACAAAAUACUCAGAAACUUGCAAAAAUGCAGAGAUGACGUUCUUCAACUUUUUAAUUAUUCAUCAAGAAAAUGAAAUAGAUUUUCCUUGGCUGGUAAGGGAUGAAGAACAGAAAGCUUCAGCUAUGCAAACACAGCCCAUAUGGAGUGGAAUGAUAGCUUCCCAAUGAAAUCCCUAAGUAGCCAACCAUGGUGAUACUAUGGUGAACACCCCGUAAAUGCUGAGCAUACUAGAAAAAGGUGUGCUCUCUAAAAUGAAAUGGAGAAGUAAUCUGAUCAGCGGGCAGGGAAUUACAGCUGGACAGAAUGCAUCUGUAGAACCGCUGUGGGGAAGCUGCGGGAAGUGAAGGCCCUUCGGUGACGAUGGGGACAGAGGUGGCCUUUCUUCCUCAGUCGCAGUCCUUCCUCUUCUGGGCUGCACGCCUGACACAAGCAGUUCAUUUCUGUUCCAAAAUCACCAUGUGACUCACUGCUACCAGAAAUAAGAAUGUUUCAGCAAUGUGAUUUGUCAGUCUUGGUGAUGUACCAGGAUAUGGAUAGGUGCCUGCUGCAGAGAGCGCACGAUUUAACGGGUAUGUCUCUCUUCCUCUCCCCCUCUUCCCAAGAAGAUCUGCUCCUGACACUUGCAUAUCUUCAUCUGAUGGGAAAAGCCAGGAGCAUGUGAAGCUGCUGCCAGUUUCCCCAGUCUCCGCCAGAUCACAGCAGAUCUGUAUGAACCAGGGCCAAGCUGGUGGGGAUGAGCUGAGGGGAGCUCAUCCCACACAACGAAGGAAUGUGAGGAACGAUGGAGUUGGGGGGCAGGGGGCCGGGGCGCCUUUCUGCAGAAAGUCAAUGACUAGGGGUUUUUUUUAUUCACAGCUCGGAUAAGAGGUUUUUUUAAUAAUUAGCCUCUACUUUUUAAAAAUAUAUCAAGCCCUGAAGAAGUAUUGUGUUCUAACAUCAGAGAGCCUUGCAAUUCAGCAGGAGCAAAACCUUUUUUUUGCUGCCCCAAAUGCAAAACCAGUGCAGAACCACUUAUCACACCUUAAAGGUCUGCCGGAGUUAAUCACUCCAAAAUUAUCUGUCGUUCACAUUAAGUUCUAGCAGUGUUAUAAAGAAGCUAAUUUGUUUAUUUAUUGCUAGUUCUACAAUUAAUACAAGGUUAAUUCUUUCAAAAACUAUUAAGCCUGGAGCAGCUGAAUGGUUUAGGAGGAAACAGAGAGCGAUCAUUAAUAUUGAUUUGACACAUGAGAAACAAUCUCAAGAGGGUUUAAUGUUUGGGCCUAUUUCAUUAGCUCAUUUUAUUAGCAGUCUCAAGACAGGUUUGUAUUCAGCUAAGUUUGAAGUGGGUGAUAAUUUCAAAAUCAGAGAAGACACGUGGAAUCACAAACUACAGAAUUGUCUGAGACAUCUUAGGACUGUAGGCUGCACACAGGAGCAUGAAAUUCAAUGUUAAUUAAAUAAAAACUCUGCUUCAUUGCCAAGGAGAAGCUGAACUGAAGCAGGUCAAUAAGGAGAGGACAGAUACACAAAGGGACCCAGUCUGAGAAAAGCCUUGGGGGACAGACUGCAAAUGUUCAAACACUUGCAUAAGCGUAAGGCAAAAGUUGGUUUUGACAGAAAGAAAGAAAAAAAGAAAAAGGAGCCUACACGUAAAGAUAAGGUAGUAGUUUUGUUUUCAUAACUUGGGAUAAAGGCACAGAAAAUACUGUAAUACAGAUCUCUUCCUCACUAGCCAGUUCCCUGAAUGCUUGUCUCUUUUAAGCUCGCUGUUGUUUUUCCAGGC